CCCUACGGGGUGCAGCAGGAGGAGUUCGCCGGCGUGAUUGAAAAAAGUCAGGAGGUCGAUACCGCUGUUUUCCGACAACGUGGCGGCAUCGGGGCAGUUGGAGGCGACAAAGGCCGGCUCCGGUUUCUGAACGAAGGCAUAGGCGUCGUCCCAGUGGGCCCAGUCGUGCGCCAGGUCGGCAAGGCUGGCGAGUUCGUUGUCAAGCGCCGCGAAUGCCCGGUCGUUGUCUUCGAGCGCCUGAUCCCGUUGCAGGUUGUCAAAGGCUGGUUGGACCAGGAAAUGGUUGAGGACGAGCAGCAGCAGAACGACGACGGCGCUGCCGCCAAGGACGAGCAGGAGGGCUUGCGUUCCCGGACGGGCAAGAAAUGAAUUGGCGGGGGGGC
rnacentral:rRNA from 1 species